GUAGUGAAGUUGGCCUAUCACGCCUCCCUGUCACGGAGGAGAUCGCCGGUUCGAAUCCCGCC
rnacentral:tRNA from 1 species